UACGGGGGGAGCAAGCGUUGUUCGGAUUUACUGGGCGUAAAGGGCGGGUAGGCGGCCACCGCAAGUCAGUUGUGAAAUCUCCGGGCUUAACCCGGAAAGGUCAACUGAUACUGCGGGGCUAGAGUGCAGAAGGGGCAACUGGAAUUCUCGGUGUAGCGGUGAAAUGCGUAGAUAUCGAGAGGAACACCUGCGGCGAAGGCGGGUUGCUGGGCUGACACUGACGCUGAAGUGCGAAAGCUAGGGGAGCGAACGGG
rnacentral:rRNA from 1 species